rnacentral:rRNA from 1 species
UGGGGAAUAUUGGACAAUGGGCGAAAGCCUGAUCCAGCCAUGCCGCGUGUGUGAAGAAGGCCUUUUGGUUGUAAAGCACUUUAAGCGAGGAGGAGGCUACUUGGAUUAAUACUCUAGGAUAGUAGACGUUACUCGCAGAAUAAGCACCGGCUAACUCUGUGCCAGCAGCCGCGGUAAUACAGAGGGUGCGAGCGUUAAUCGGAUUUACUGGGCGUAAAGCGUGCGUAGGCGGCUUCUUAAGUCGGAUGUGAAAUCCCUGAGCUUAACUUAGGAAUUGCAUUCGAUACUGGGAAGCUAGAGUAUGGGAGAGGAUGGUAGAAUUCCAGGUGUAGCGGUGAAAUGCGUAGAGAUCUGGAGGAAUACCGAUGGCGAAGGCAGCCAUCUGGCCUAAUACUGACGCUGAGGUACGAAAGCAUGGGGAGCAAACAGG